rnacentral:rRNA from 1 species
UACGUAGGGUGCGAGCGUUAAUCGGAAUUACUGGGCGUAAAGCGUGCGCAGGCGGUUUUGUAAGUCUGUCGUGAAAUCCCCGGGCUCAACCUGGGAAUUGCGAUGGAGACUGCAAGGCUAGAAUCUGGCAGAGGGGGGUAGAAUUCCACGUGUAGCAGUGAAAUGCGUAGAGAUGUGGAGGAACACCGAUGGCGAAGGCAGCCCCCUGGGUCAAGAUUGACGCUCAUGCACGAAAGCGUGGGGAGCAAACGAGGAU